rnacentral:rRNA from 1 species
UUAAAUUGAAGAGUUUGAUCAUGGCUCAGAUUGAACGCUGGCGGCAGGCCUAACACAUGCAAGUCGAACGGUAACAGGAAGCAGCUUGCUGCUUUGCUGACGAGUGGCGGACGGGUGAGUAAUGUCUGGGAAACUGCCUGAUGGAGGGGGAUAACUACUGGAAACGGUAGCUAAUACCGCAUAACGUCGCAAGACCAAAGAGGGGGACCUUAGGGCCUCUUGCCAUCGGAUGUGCCCAGAUGGGAUUAGCUAGUAGGUGGGGUAACGGCUCACCUAGGCGACGAUCCCUAGCUGGUCUGAGAGGAUGACCAGCCACACUGGAACUGAGACACGGUCCAGACUCCUACGGGAGGCAGCAGUGGGGAAUAUUGCACAAUGGGCGCAAGCCUGAUGCAGCCAUGCCGCGUGUAUGAAGAAGGCCUUCGGGUUGUAAAGUAC